UCAGUAUGAUGGCAAAAACUGAGCCUAAAUCCCAGGUCGGGAUGAACCGUUUCCCCAUCACUUCUUUCUGUUUUCUCGCAAAAAAUUCAUUCUGUUUAAGAUGAUGAUGAUAACGAAUCAUGUAACUCACUUUUUCCUUCACCACAUGUGCAGAAUAUGAAAACGUGCUGCAACGCUUCGUUCAAGGACUUUCUGAGUCUGUGAAAAAAUACUCCAGCCAAGGAAACCGGGACGCUGCCAAGGAUGCACUGGGCAGGUUGAAGAUGGUUGAGAAUGAGCUGGAAUCGCUGAAGAGGAAACGCACUGGAUGAGAGCAGAAUAAGGAGUGGAGCCUUGGCUGGAGUACUGUUUUCUCUCUCUCUCUCUCUUUCUCUCAUACACACUCAUAUACCAAACGCUACAGUGGGUACAAUAAGUACCUUUAGCAUGAUUCAUUGCUGCAAAACAACUGCAUGAGCUAAACUGCUAAUUCAGUCAGUUGUUCCUUUAGCUUGUGUCAUAUGUGGUUAGUUACCUGCCACAAUAACCUAACAAACGGCUGCAGCCGCCAAGCAGACGGCAAUUAAAAACACAUCCAAAUGUGUAAAGAGGGAGAUGCAUUUGCACUUAAACAAGACAAACACUACAGGAAACUGCUUCUAAAGAAUGGCUUUACAGACUUUGCUGGUAUUCUAUUUUGUUUUGGGGUUUUUUUUGUUUUUUUCCCAACUUUCCUGUGACAAUUCUUGAUGAAGUAAUCUGCCAGAAGACUUGACGUUUUACAUUCGGCACCGGCUUUUGGUGUCUACAGAUGACCAAAAAUAUGUGUGUGUGAAGGUGCGUGUGUGUGUUUGUCCACGCACUCUUAGGUGUGUUUAACCAGUGAACUAGAGGGUUUUUUUUUACCUUUUUCCCUGUAUUUUAUGUGUGUAAUGAGCUUAAUCUAAUCUGUCUGCUCCAGUGUUCACAGAUUACAGUAAUCUGCUCCGUUUGGAGUGCUGUGAUACGGGAAUAAAAGAAAAAAAAAAAACAACAAAAAAAUGGGGCUUCGGGGUGCAGCAGCCUACAUCCCAUGAUAAGGGAUUAGUGUUUAUGUCACCAAAGAGGCGACUACAUCAGACGUAGAGUCGCCUCUGGGGGCUGGGAAGAGGGGUUUUAACAGCGUGCCAUGAAUGUGGUAGAAGCUUAGCCUCGCUAAGAGAUUGCUGCGUCUUCAUCAGCUGUUUCUUCUUUGUCGUCUUCGUCAUCUUAUUUUCCUCGCACCCAUUCCUUUCAAGAUUAUUCUUGAUUAAUAGGCUGCCCUACUCAGAAUCUAUUUAAACUCUUAAACAAUAUGAAGCCCGCUGUGCUGUCACUUAGUUUAAAACAGUUUAGAGCUGCUGCGUCAGAGUGCUUUUUCCCCCCACAGAUUGUGGUGGAUGCAAAAACAGAAUUUGUCCCAUUGAGCUCUCCAGUGGCAGCACAGUGGAUACUGAAAAAUCUAACCACAGGAAGGCGGCCCUAUAAGUGUCAGUAUGGCUGGGUAAUUGCUCAUUUCUGUCUCAGUUCUCCCACAGACACCUAUGUCAUCAUCAUCUUCCUCUCUGCCUUCCCUUCUUUUUGGAGAAUAAAGUCAAGCAGACAAAAUACAGAUAAAACCACUUAAACUUUGACACGCUGACAAAGUUGAGGUGGGCAGAUUGCAAUGAUCAGAAUGAUUUGCCACAACACCACAAGAUGUACAAAAAAAAAAAAAUCAGACAAAUGUGGGCUGCCAUGUAUUCUGAGAUCUGGGCAGAUGUUUGGUGUGCUAAUCUGACAAUAGCUCCUGUUGCACGUUGAUUGCAUCCAGCCGGGAUGUAGCAGACUACUUUAAGUGAGCCUUAUUGUGCGUUUUGUGUUUGAAUCCUCAAUAUUAACGAUGUCUGGUAACUCCAGUUAAUAGUUUUUUGGUCAUGUGACACGUCAGAUAAUCAUGUGUUCACGCUAAUCCACUCACUGCUUCACUCCAUUAGCAAAUAAUCCCGGUUAAAGUUGGCCUUCCACUGUGUGGUGACCCUUAUGUAACACCCGUUGCCCCACUUUUUCUUUUUUUUUUUAAUCAACAGAGGACAUCUUUUGACUCUUUGUAAAUGUUAUGCUGAUUUUGAUCAUCUCAUAUUAUUUUGUAGAUAGAUCGUAGCAUUAGAACAUCAGAUUACAAUAUUAAACAUGGCUUCAAAUCUUUAAACGUGCUCCCUUUCCUUCUAGGUGAUCGUUUGUGUCUUAUUUAAAUCUUUGUACGGCACAGACUAUAAUCUUGAGCGCUCCUAAAACUCAAGCUCGAGCAGGUCUGGAUUAAUGUCAAUGAUGCAUUUAUGCAGCAGUGUAGUUUAAGUACAAAUUUAUUUGUAAAGCUUUGGGCAUUAAGAAAGAUUUAAAUAGUGAAUCAGCGGAUUACUCAACUUGAGCAAAUUUGAAGGUUCUGCUAAUGGUUUUCAUACUGUACGCAGGGCAGAGCCAAGGGGUGAACACAGCUGAAAGUCUGAACCACCUCUCUGUCCGGACCUUACACUCAGCUGUAAAUCUGUUAGAGGGGCUAUGCAUGUAAAACUGGAGUAAACAUGUGCCUGUUUGUUUCAGCAGAACCAUUUUCUUUGACAAUCAGCAGAGGGUUACAUAAAAAAACAAAAUUCUUAAAGUCCUUAUGGUGGACCUCUAUACUUCCUUGUAUAAGUUAAUCAUGAAACUGAAUGACCAAUAUUUGGAGAUCAGUUUCUGGGUCGCCGGAAGUAAUGGCCUCAUGUUAGCAAUACACACAGAAAGGAAAGAAGCCCCCGAUUACUGCUUAUAACUUUAAAACAAAGGGACUAGUAUUUAAUUUUAAUGUUCCCGUGUUCUGUUUUGUUUUUCCUGUGGAUGAAACGCAAAGCUGAAUGAAUUAUUUGAAAACAGAACAUCUGUCCCAGGAGUGGGGUUCACAGAAAGACCAGCUCUAAUGGAAAAUAGUGAGUUGGACUAAAACAACAACAGCACAAAGAUGUCGUUCCGAUUAAAAGAAAAACAUCUGAGUGUGACCGUGUAGCAGCUGCAUGUUUGAGCCUGCACAAAAAGUGCAACUGCACACCGCCACCCCCAUCCCCGCCUAGACCACACCCACUUUUUUUUUUCUUUUAAAUCCAGAGCUGUAACCCUACGUCACCCCAAACACACAAACGCACUCCUGCCACAUCACCCCACUCCCCAAAUAACCUUGCGGCCUCUGAGGCUGACCUGUUGUCGUAGCAACGAGCUCAUCAGCAUUCAGUGUGGUAGGUGGAUGGUCAGGACCCGGGUGGAGGGACAUAUUGUUAGUUGGUCCUGCUGGUGACUCACACUCCGUUUCUGCAUAUACAACACACCACAACACACACACUCCUGCUCACUCUCUUUUCAUACGAUUGUUUGGCUCUCUGUCUUUAUCCUGUUAUUGAUUUCAUUUAAAAAAGUUUGGUCUGAGUUUUGUUAUUUUUUUGUUUUUACUACUUUCUUCCUGAUGAGUUGGGUAAAUGUAUCCAUUUAUUGUUGAAGCUGACAUCUUUUAAAAAAUUUGCUAAGUCACGUAAGGGCAAUCAUUAUAAAUGUAAUAUUUAUAUUUGGUAAAUAUGGCAUAAUAUGCUCUGUCUCUUUUUUUUUUAAGUGAAUGUCUUGAUGAUUGAUGCAGUUUAAAAUGGGAAUGUAUGACGGCCUGAUUCUUGAGGCUUUAUUAUCUUAUGUAUGAGGUUGGUGUUGACACGAAUAAAGUGGUGGAACCGCA